rnacentral:rRNA from 1 species
AAGUCGAGCGGAUGAAGGGAGCUUGCUCCUGGAUUCAGCGGCGGACGGGUGAGUAAUGCCUAGGAAUCUGCCUGGUAGUGGGGGAUAACGUCCGGAAACGGGCGCUAAUACCGCAUACGUCCUGAGGGAGAAAGUGGGGGAUCUUCGGACCUCACGCUAUCAGAUGAGCCUAGGUCGGAUUAGCUAGUUGGUGGGGUAAAGGCCUACCAAGGCGACGAUCCGUAACUGGUCUGAGAGGAUGAUCAGUCACACUGGAACUGAAACACGGUCCAGACUCCUACGGGAGGCAGCAGUGGGGAAUAUUGGACAAUGGGCGAAAGCCUGAUCCAGCCAUGCCGCGUGUGUGAAGAAGGUCUUCGGAUUGUAAAGCACUUUAAGUUGGGAGGAAGGGCAGUAAGUUAAUACCUUGCUGUUUUGACGUUACCAACAGAAUAAGCACCGGCUAACUUCGUGCCAGCAGCCGCGGUAAUACGAAGGGUGCAAGCGUUAAUCGGAAUUACUGGGCAUAAAGCGCGCGUAGUGGUUCAGCAAGUUGGAUGUGAAAUCCCCGGGCUCAACCUGGGAACUGCAUCCAAAACUACUGAGCUAGAGUACGGUAGAGGGUGGUGGA